rnacentral:rRNA from 1 species
UACGUAGGGGGCAAGCGUUAUCCGGAUUUACUGGGUGUAAAGGGAGCGUAGACGGUGAGACAAGUCUGAAGUGAAAGCCCGGGGCUCAACCCCGGGACUGCUUUGGAAACUGCCUGACUGGAGUGCUGGAGAGGCAAGCGGAAUUCCUAGUGUAGCGGUGAAAUGCGUAGAUAUUAGGAAGAACACCAGUGGCGAAGGCGGCUUGCUGGACAGUAACUGACACUGAGGCUCAAAAGCGUGGGGAGCAAACAGG